UACAGAGGUCUCAAGCGUUGUUCGGAUUCAUUGGGCGUAAAGGGUGCGUAGGCGGCGCGGUAAGUCGGGUGUGAAAUCUCGGGCUUAACUCCGAACUGCAUUCGAUACUGCCGUGCUUGAGGACUGGAGAGGAGACUGGAAUUUACGGUGUAGCGGUGAAAUGCGUAGAUAUCGUAAGGAAGACCAGUGGCGAAGGCGGUCUCUGGACGAGUU
rnacentral:rRNA from 1 species